UCCCUGGUGGCUCAGAUGGUAAAGAAUCUGCCUGCAAUGCAGGAGAUUUAGGUUCAAUCCCUGGGUUGGGAA
rnacentral:tRNA from 1 species